UACGUAGGUGGCAAGCGUUGUCCGGAUUUACUGGGCGUAAAGAGCGCGCAGGCGGUCGUUCAAGUCGCGUGUGAAAGCCCCCGGCUCAACUGGGGAGGGUCACGCGAUACUGAUCGACUCGAAGGCAGGAGAGGGUAGUGGAAUUCCAGGUGUAGCGGUGAAAUGCGUAGAUAUCUGGAGGAACACCGGUGGCGAAGGCGGCAUCCUGGACCGACACUGACGCUGAGGAGCGAAAGCCAGGGGAGCAAACGGG
rnacentral:rRNA from 1 species